AAACAACGUUUGCUUGUCAACCCCUUCCGGCUGACAUUCGUCAAAUAACAUUACCAAAUCUUUUAAGCAAGCAGUUUCACAAGUUUGAGACGAGUACAAUGGCUAUAAUCGAGAAGGCAGGAUCAAAAUUCGAGUAAACAAGCUUUCGCUACAACGUUACAGAGUACAGUACAGAUGUGAUUAUUGCUUUGCAUCUCCCAAAUGUGUGAUCAUGUGAAGCAAUCCAGACCACAUGCAAACUCUUGCCGCUCCAGUACUUUCCUAGAUCAAAUCCAUGGCAGCACUACUACUCGCCUCCCUCCACCCGGCGAGGAGGAACUCUGCUCCACUUCCGGAUCCUCGCGCCCAAGCCCUUCAUCUCCUCCACCUGCAGAUACAGAGAACACAGACGCGCGAUGUAAAUUUUUUGCCGCAUCCAGAUCGAGAAUCCGUCACACGGAUGCGAGGGCUUUAGACUCCGGCAACUUACCGAUCCGACGCCCGCCGCGGACACUCCGGCGGUGACGGUCGUGGCGCCGGCGCCGACGAAGAGAGAGGCGACGGCGAACGCCCUGAAUGGCAUCGUCAUGUCGCUGCCGCCCUUGCCUCGCCGGAACCAAACCAGCGCGCCGGUGAUCUGGGCCGCACUCGCUCCAAGCCACCAGGGCCAUGCCUUGCCCUUCUUCCCGCCGCCUCCACCCAGCUCAUCCAUCGCCGCCGCCGCCGCCGCUAGGGUAUUCGGGGGACACCACAGCUCUGUGGGAGUUGCAAACUAUGCACACACUGAAACACACAAUGCUCACCGACAUGUGGGGCCCUUGGUAGGCCGUGUCAUGUCCAUCCGCUGACAUGUGGGACCCGUUGCCAGUUCACCCCCCAACAUAACGGGGUAGGCUCCCUUCUCUCCCACCUCUCAGUGAUCACCAGUACUACUGCCAUUCCCC
rnacentral:lncRNA from 1 species